rnacentral:rRNA from 1 species
GAGUUUGAUCAUGGCUCAGAUUGAACGCUGGCGGCAUGCCUUACACAUGCAAGUCGAACGGCAGCAUGAUCUAGCUUGCUAGAUUGAUGGCGAGUGGCGAACGGGUGAGUAAUACAUCGGAACGUGCCCUGUAGUGGGGGAUAACUAGUCGAAAGAUUAGCUAAUACCGCAUACGACCUGAGGGUGAAAGUGGGGGACCGCAAGGCCUCAUGCUAUAGGAGCGGCCGAUGUCUGAUUAGCUAGUUGGUGGGGUAAAGGCCCACCAAGGCGACGAUCAGUAGCUGGUCUGAGAGGACGAUCAGCCACACUGGGACUGAGACACGGCCCAGACUCCUACGGGAGGCAGCAGUGGGGAAUUUUGGACAAUGGGCGAAAGCCUGAUCCAGCAAUGCCGCGUGUGUCG